UACGUAGGGUCCGAGCGUUGUCCGGAAUUAUUGGGCGUAAAGAGCUCGUAGGCGGUUUGUCGCGUCUGCUGUGAAAUCCCGAGGCUCAACCUCGGGCCUGCAGUGGGUACGGGCAGACUUGAGUGCGGUAGGGGAGAAUGGAAUUCCUGGUGUAGCGGUGGAAUGCGCAGAUAUCAGGAGGAACACCGGUGGCGAAGGCGGGUCUCUGGGCCGUAACUGACGCUGAGGAGCGAAAGCAUGGGGAGCGAACAGG
rnacentral:rRNA from 1 species